rnacentral:pre_miRNA from 7 species
UUGUGCUUGAUCUAACCAUGUGGUAGAACAAUACAAAUUGAACAUGGUUCUGUCAAGCACCAUG